rnacentral:pre_miRNA from 13 species
UGUGCAGUGGGAAGGGGGCCGAUACACUGUACGAGAGUGAGUAGCAGGUCUCACAGUGAACCGGUCUCUUUCUCUACUGUGUC